UAGAAUUGUCACAACCGUGAA
ensembl:piRNA 21ur-4940 ncRNA